UUUGCCGUACGACAGUAUUAA
rnacentral:piRNA from 1 species